UAAUCAUAAUAAUGCCCACUUUGCUAGGGAACUUGACGGUGUUGAUAAGAUAAGAUACACGAAUGUGUGCCACUGCCACUACGGCUCAAUGAUUAUAUAUGAACACAGGAAGAAGCACUGAAAAACUUUCCUUUGGGUGAACACCUUUUAAGGGACUCUUUAACAUUGAAGGUUUGGCUUUGUUGCUCAUUGGCUGUUUUAGUACAAUCCAUCAAGAGAAUGAAUUGAAAAAUGAUAUUCAUACACUGGUUGGGUGCCUACUGCCUAGUGUAUCUCCUGGCCAAGAAUUAGAGACUAAUUUCUUGAUUUUGGAGGCUAUGUUUUUCUGGCAGUGUACCUAUCGCUGAUUCAGAUCAGGCCAUUCCAAGAUUGUAAAUGCUUUUUCAGGGGUCAGGAGUAAUAACUAUUAUAGAGGGCCAAUGAUCUACAAGCCGCUUUUGUAGGCACAUGCUCAGAAUCACACAAAGGGUCUGCAAGGAUCUCUUUCACUCUUGAGAUCAUGCAAGAAAUGUAGCUUCCAAUGUUUAACAAGUAUCAUGAGGGGAUGGAUCAGACAUUCCGUUUUAGCACUUACCCUCAUAAGAAAAGGGUGUAAUACUGAUACUGAUUGAUUAACAAAGGGAAAGACAUGCUUGCUCAAAAUUUCUGCUAUCAUAUGUUAAUAAUGGUCACAUAAUUGCUCAGGAUGGAUGAGGUGUUCACUAUAUUUGUGAGUUUCACUGCUUAAUUGGAAUUCUCCCUAGUGUUUUACCAAUAAUGAAGCUGGCUGGCAUUUGAAUUGAGUGCACAAGUUAGUCUUCUUAAAAGCUUAAUGUCUUAUGGUUGCUGUCAAGGCUCAAGGGCAUUCAUUUGGACUUCAGUGAGAUGGGAAGACUAGUGAGUAGUGACAAUGAAACUCGUAAAUUUGAACUGUAUGUUGUUAUUGUUAUGGGAACACUCAACUAUGGUUGCCUUUAGUUUCAUGUGUGUGUCAUUUUAGAAGUAGAAUUUAGGAUUCAUUUAUACAUCACAUAUAUUAUAUUCAUAUCACAAAAUUAUACAAUAACUUUAUCAUCCAAUACUUUUUUUUUUCUUUUAUCCCUCUUAAUUACAUCAUCAAUCUUGUCUUUUACUUCUCUUUUGUCUCUUCCUAUCUCUCUUAUUUGUAAAAGAAAGUUGUAUAAUUUUGUUGAAUAAAUAGAAUUUCUCAUUUGGAA